rnacentral:rRNA from 2 species
UUAAGCAUAUAACUAAGCGGAGGAAAAGAAACUAACAAGGAUUCCCCUAGUAGCGGCGAGCGAAGCGGGAACAGCCCAAGAUGAAAAUCCCUUCGGGGAGUUGUAGUCUGAGUGUCCUUGGGUGGGUCAGUGCGGGCAAGUCUUCUGGAAUGAAGCGCCAUGGAGGGUGAGAGCCCCGUCCAUCCCGCACAGGAUCCAUUCGUACAAGGACGCUUCAACCGAGUCGGGUAGCUUGGGAAUGCUGCUCUAAUUGGUGGUAAAUCUCAUCAAAGGCUAAAUAGUGGUGGGAGACCGAUAGCGAACAAGUACCGUGAGGGAAAGAUGGAAAGAACUUUGAAAAGAGAGUGAAAAGCACUUGAAACCGUCACGGGGGAAGCGGAUUGCGUGAGUGAUGGUGUCGCUUGUUCAGCGCUUUAUUGCGUGCAUUCUGGCGGCGCCGUGCCGGCGUGGCUGGCUGGACUGUGAUUUUGACAGUCUCGGCUGGUGAGGGCUCCCUCGUAUGAGGUGAGGACGCGGGCAAAAUGACGCAAUACGACCCGUCUUGAAACACGGACCAAGGAGUCUAGCACGGCUGCGAGUCGAAGAGUGAUUAAACUCAAGGGCGCAGUGAAAGCGAAAUUAUAAGCAAAUUGGGGAGGCGUUGCGUUUUUAACAAAAUGUCCUACCUCGAGCAUUUGUGCUGGGACCCGAAAGAUGGUGAACUAUGCCGGAGUAGGGCAAAGCCAGAGGAAACUCUGGUGGAGGCUCGUAGCGAUGCUGACGUGA